rnacentral:rRNA from 1 species
CUUUACUACAACUUUGCACUGGCAUUCGUGACGGUAUGUGUAGGAUAGGUGGUAGGCUUUGAAGCAUGGGCGCCAGCUCGUGUGGAGCCACCCUUGAAAUACCACCCUUACUGUUAUGGAUGUCUAACCGCGGCCCGUCAUCCGGGUCCGGGACCGUGCAUGGUGGGUAGUUUGACUGGGGCGGUCGCCUCCCAAAGUGUAACGGAGGCGCGCGAUGGUGGGCUCAGAGCGGUCGGAAAUCGCUCGUCGAGUGCAAUGGCAUAAGCCCGCCUGACUGCGAGACUGACAAGUCGAGCAGAGACGAAAGUCGGCCAUAGUGAUCCGGUGGUCCCACGUGGACGGGCCAUCGCUCAACGAAUAAAAGGUA